UUUUUAUGCAAAUGUGUUGUGCCUCGGGGCGUAUCCCUGCUGUGAUUUAUGAACAAUGAUUAAAAAUAACUCAUUUGAUAUAAUCUAACGUGGACAAACGCGGGAAGACAGGAUGAAAUUAAAUUUCUUCCUCCUGGAAAGAGAACUCUGAAGGUCAGUGUCCCCAUCCCCACCCCCACCUUGGGAGUGCAAGUGGUUUCCUCCAUUGGGACCCAAUGUGAAAUUCCAUAAGCAAAUGACGUUUCGGUCAAGACGCUGUCCUGAAAUCAAGUCCCUGUUUCUUUUCACUUUCUUCCAUCUUCCCAUGGUUCCCGGUUCCGCUCAGCUUGGCGUGGAUGGUGUGAAUCAAGACAAGAUGGUCAAGUUAUUUAACUCAGUUGUUUCCCCGUGACCCAGGGAAGGUAUUCCUUCAAUUGGGUCACAAGGAAUGAGCAGGCUGAUAGAUACGCAGAUUCUGGACACUUCUCCUGUGCACACGUUACCAGCUUCCAGCCACAAAACUCCCAAUGUAGGACUCCACAGAGCCAAAGAUGAACACAUUUGAAGACCCCCCAAGGCCCUCUGGGCUGUGGCUGUGCCCUAUGUUGGUUGAUGAUGCCACACAGCUGAGAGUUGGAGGGAGAGGAGAAGAUGGGAGCAGGAUGGACCAGAAGCUGCUCUCAGGAACAAACCUUUAUGAGCAUGAAGGUAACAGAAG
rnacentral:lncRNA from 1 species